UACGGAGGGUGCAANGCGUUAUCNCGGAUUCACUGGGGUUUAAAGGGUGCGUAGGCGGGUAGGUAAGUCAGUGGUGAAAUCCUGGAGCUCAACUCCAGAACUGCCAUUGAUACUAUCUAUCUUGAAUAUUGUGGAGGUAAGCGGAAUAUGUCAUGUAGCGGUGAAAUGCUUAGAUAUGACAUAGAACACCCAUUGCGAAGGCAGCUUACUACGCAUAUAUUGACGCUGAGGCACGAAAGCGUGGGGAUCAAACAGGAUUAGAUACCCUGGUAGUCCACGCCCUAAACUAUGGAUACUCGACAUAUGCGAUACACUGUAUGUGUCUGAGCGAAAGCAUUAAGUAUCCCACCUGGGAAGUACGUUCGCAAGAAUGAAACUCAAAGGAAUUGGCGGGGGUCCGCACAAGCGGUGGAGUAUGUGGUUUAAUUCGAUGAUACGCGAGGAACCUUACCUGGGCUAGAAUGCUGGGAGACCGCUAGUGAAAGCUAGUUUUGUAGCAAUACACUGCCAGUAAGGUGCUGCAUGGCCGUCGUCAGCUCGUGCCGUGAGGUGUUGGGUUAAGUCCCGCAACGAGCGCAACCCCUAUCUUUAGUUGCCAACAGGUAAUGCUGGGAACUCUAAAGAAACUGCCGCCGUAAGGUGUGAGGAAGGAGGGGAUGAUGUCAGGUCAUCAUGGCCUUUAUGCCCAGGGCUACACACGUACUACAAUGGGGGAGACAAAGGGCUGCAACAUAGCGAUAUGAAGCCAAUCCCAAAAACUCCCUCUCAGUUCAGAUUGCAGGCUGCAACUCGCCUGCAUGAAGCUGGAAUCGCUAGUAAUCGUAUAUCAGCAAUGAUACGGUGAAUACGUUCCCGGACCU
rnacentral:rRNA from 1 species